UGGAAGUAAAAGUCGUAACAAGGUCUCCGUAGGUGAACCUGCGGAGGGAUCAUUACACAAUACAAUAUGAAGGCUGUCCGCAGCUGGAGUAUUUUAUUACCCUUGUCUUUUGCGCACUUGUUGUUUCCUGGGCGGGUUCGCUCGCCACCAGGACCACCAAAUAAACCUUUUUUAUGCAGUUGCAAUCAGCGUCAGUACAAACAAUGUAAAUCAUUUACAACUUUCAACAACGGAUCUCUUGGUUCUGGCAUCGAUGAAGAACGCAGCGAAAUGCGAUACGUAGUGUGAAUUGCAGAAUUCAGUGAAUCAUCGAAUCUUUGAACGCACAUUGCGCCCUUUGGUAUUCCAAAGGGCAUGCCUGUUCGAGCGUCAUUUGUACCCUCAAGCUUUGCUUGGUGUUGGGCGUUUUUGUCUUUGGUCGCCCAAAGACUCGCCUUAAAGUGAUUGGCAGCCGGCCUUUCUGGUUUCGCAGCGCAGCACAUUUUUGCGCUUGCCAUCAGCAAAACGGCAAUCCAUCAAGCCUCCUUCUCACGUUUGACCUCGGAUCAGGUAGGGAUACCCGCUGAACUUAAGCAUAUCAAUAAGCGGAGGAA
rnacentral:rRNA from 1 species